rnacentral:rRNA from 1 species
GACGGAGGGCGCAAGCGUUGUUCGGAAUCAUUGGGCGUAAAGCGCGCGCAGGCGGGCAUGCAAGUCGGGAGUGAAAUUCCGGGGCUCAACUCCGGAGCGGCUCCCGAAACUGCACGUCUGGAGACCGGUAGAGGCCGGUGGAAUUCCCGGUGUAGCGGUGGAAUGCGUAGAGAUCGGGAAGAACACCCGUGGCGAAGGCGGCCGGCUGGGCCGGGUCUGACGCUGAGGCGCGAAAGCGUGGGGAGCAAACAGG